CGGAGGCGCUCGUGAUGGGGCGGGGCACGCUGCCGGCCGUUUGAACCUGGCGGCGGGACAUGGCAGCGGCGGCGACCAGGAGAUGGAUGUCAUUUCAGAAGUUGCGGAUGGCCUUGAAAUCAAGGAACCUGUUAUUAAUGGUAUUGAAAAUAGGUCUUUAGUUGAUGAGAAACUUUUACUGCACCAAGAACAAGAAGCAGCAGUAGACCUAGCUUUCAGGACACCGGAUAAACUCAAGACCCCAGUGAACUUUUCUAUGGUAACAGUGGAGCAGCUUGCAAUUACACCAGAGAGUUUUGUGAAGAAUUCACCAGGAAAAUCCUUGCUAAAAAAAUCCAGGCGCCGAUCCACAAUUGGAGUCAGAGGUUCUCCUGAAACAAAUCUUCUCAUUAGAUACAUUGCUCAGCAAAGGAAUUUAAAAAAUGCAAAUGAUUCUCCUUUGGUGGAGGCUUCUCCUUCAAUACAGCAGGCCAGCCCAUUUCGAUACAGAAAUGGUGAUUCGUUAAGAGAGCGAAUUUCUGCCUUCCAAUCUGCUUUUCACCCAGUAAAGGAAAACGAAGGAGAGUCUGGACAUUCAGGGCCAGAGGGAGAAUUUCAAGCAGCAGACUGCACUAAGAACAAAAGCCUCAAACGUCGUGACCAGCCCAAGCUGUGUGGAGAGUUACCAUCCAAGCGCAGGCGAGCGUCUCACCAGAGAGACUUAAAAGAAAAUAUAGCUAAUGGUGAAAAAAAGUUGACUGACAUCCAGAUAUGCCAUAUUACUACUUUUCCUGACACAAGCCAAACUUAUACCUGUGAAACUUCUGUGACAGCUCAUUCUAAGGAAUCUUAUUGUGAUCCGUCCAUUGUCGCACAGUCUGGAUGCUCAGUUUUAGAGGAUACUUCACUGAAAAGUCUCUCAGGGACUACAAGGGGGAAGGACAUAGCUGGAUGUGCAGAGGAAGAAAAAGCAAGUAGUGCUGCUUCCAGACCUCGUGGAAGGAGAGGCAGAGCUGGGAAAGAACUGAGCACAGAGCCGUUCCAUGAGAUCAUGCCACCAGUCGCACCUGUGUAUGAGGGGGAUUUUUCGUCUUGUAAGUCCUCUUUCCUUCGCUCUGUGCUGAAGAAGACCCCCGUGAAACUGCUCCUGGAAAGCUUACAGGAGCAUUGUGACACCACUGGGUAUGAUGGAAAGCAAUCACUCUCAUUCUCAGAUCUUUCGAAGGGUUGUGAAGAACUGAAAAAAGAAAAAAGCAGUUUAAAAGACCAAAAAACAUGGCACAGAAAGAGAGUUACUUUUGGAGAAGAGCUAAGCCCUGAAGUAUUUGACGAAUCAUUGCCAGCAAAUACCCCGCUGCGUAAAGGCGGCACGCCUGCUCGACAACAAGAUGUAAGAAGCAUUCAUCCUCCCUUUUUCCCAAGGCUGCCCAUUUCGGAGGCAAUAUCUCAACCAAACUUUGAAGAGCCAGAACAGAAUCUUGUAAACAUGGAGCCACUUGAAGUGUCUUUUGCAGUCCUAGGACCUGCUACUGAUUCUUCAUCCUCUGAAACUCUUGAAGACACUGAUGCUGUUAAUUCUUCAAAUAAGUGUGAAAAAAUUUCCCCUUCCAAAGUUGAUAGGAUAACACGAUCCUCUAGCAAAAGGAAGAUUUUAUAUUUGCUACAGCAGUCAGGUCAUGUUACUGAAGAGGCUGAUUUUAGCAACCUAGUUAGCACAGAUGUUAAGCGUGAGAGAGAAAGGAAAUGCAGUAAGAAGAAAGCACCAAGAACAAAGAACAGUAACAGAACAGCAUCAAAAAAGAUGCAGGUGUUAAAAAAUUGCAGAAGGAGGAAAGGAAAAGUAAAGAGGUUACAGAAAUCUUUCUGUGGCCUAAGAGAGGUAGCCUCUAAGAAACCUCUUCUGAGUCCUAUUCCUGAGAUCCCCGAGACCCCUUCUACAACAACACCCAGUACACAGAGAAUGCCGAUUCUGUGGUACUCAGAUUGUCUUGAUUUGCCAAAAGAGGAUUACAACACUUCCAAAGAUAGAGAUAAAGAUGCCAUGAACUCUGACCCAAAUAAAUCAGUUGGAAAACCCAGAAGUAGAUAUUUGCCCCAGAACCCGGAAACCUUGGCUCCAUCUUACAAAGAAGAAGACACCUCUGAAUGUUUCAGUUCUGAUAGAGAAAAUGACCCACCCUUUGGUCUUGUGACUUUUGAACAGGGUUCAAAUGCAAGUACAAUAGCAGCUUAUGGAAGUGGCCGUGUUCAAUGUGCCAACAAGCUGGAGCAUCAAGACCACGCAGAGAAAAGGACUAAGAACCGAGACAUCUGUCUUCUUUCUCCAGCGUUAACUCUUGCAGUAGAAGAAGAAAUGACUCCAGGUGUCCCACAGUCCAGUUGUUUUCUGUUGCAGCCCCUGCAGUCUGCCGCUGUUAUUCCAAAUAUGGAAAGUGUUUGUGAAUCUGAAGGUGUUGAUGACACACAGCACGUCGAAGAGCUGAGCACAUCCUGUGAAGAGCAAAAAGAUGCUUUAAUAGCCUCUGAAGGAAGACCGAAGAGCAGUCAUUCAGCAGAUGCUCCAAAGGCAGAAUUGAGUCAUCGAGAAGAUGCUGUCAUAGAUGAAGAUGGGGAACAAAUCCUGAGUCAUGGCCAAGAGUUGAAACAAAGAAAACCAGAAGCAAACAGUGGCAUCUUGACUUACAAAAAUCUUAUAAAGAGGCGGAGAAGAAGCUCUAUUUAUUGUCCAGCUGAUGAGAACAUCCAUUUUGAAGAACCUGGGAAUCAGUCUCCUACCUGCCGUCCGAUGGAAGAAUCUGACAGUUCUGAACUCUUUAACAAUUUAACCGAGUCUAUCAAACAAGCUUUUAGGAGAUUAAACGCUAGUGGAACAAGAGUAAGACGCAGCACAAGACUGAGAAGAAAUUCAGAAAGUCAGGGUCUCAUUUGGGUUUCACUUCCAGGCCCCUCUACUUCCUCUGCUUCUCACAAAGCCAAAAGGAGGACAGUGUGUUUGUCUACUACCAGAGAAUUUGAAGAUCUGUCCUACACACAAGGGCCCUGUCUCUUGUCUUCUAUCUCAGACAGAGAAAACUCUGAGAAUGAUUCUGUGUCUGAUGCUUCUCAUGGAGCCAGGAGGAAGAGCUUUUGUGUGUCUGCUUUUUCAGAGACCAGACGUGCCUCUCGACCCAAAUACUACAGGAAAACAAGCUGUUCUCAUAGGAAUGAGGAAAACCACCCAAAUGACUUAGAAAAAAUGGAAGUAUUGGAGAAUCCAAACAAUUUCUGACAUUUCCAGCAUUCGUUUUAUGAGGGGGAAGGUAACUCUAUAUGUUUAAGAGAUAUCUACAUCUGACUAAUUAGCCUUUACUAACAGGGAGGGGAAAAUAUUCGAUAACAAUAGGCAGUUUUCCCAAAAACAGAAGAUCUGAAGAAUAAAAGCAACUUAGAAGCAAUUUCAUCCAACAAACUCUGUGUUGUAAAGAUUUUAAAUGUUAAGAUUUCUGUGUUUGAUCAUGCUUGUUUGCUUUUACUGUUUUUUCAUGGGUGGUAAAAACGAAGAUCAUGAUGUACUUAUGUUGUGUUCAUUUUUUCUGACUAACUUGCUUCCGAACAUCUUUACUGUUAGUACAUUUUCUUGAAAUCUCCCUGUAUCCUAAAAAUUUUAAGUUAGACUCUUUGAAUUGCUUUUUAUGUUGAUGUAAAUUCUCAUUUGUACCAGAAGAUGGCAGCCUGACCUGAGACUUUUUGUGUAUUUAAUUAUAAAUCCAGGGCAACACCUGA